GAUGAACGCUGGUGGCGUGCUUAACACAUGCAAGUCGAACGAAAAGAGGGGAAGAGCUUGCUCUUUUCAGAAUUGAGUGGCAAACGGGUGAGUAACACGUAAACAACCUGCCUUCAGGAUGGGGACAACAGACGGAAACGACUGCUAAUACCGAAUAAGUUCCAAGAGCCGCAUGGCCCAUGGAAGAAAAGGUGGCCUCUACCUGUAAGCUAUCGCCUGAAGAGGGGUUUGCGUCUGAUUAGCUAGUUGGCGGGGUAACGGCCCACCAAGGCGACGAUCAGUAGCCGGACUGAGAGGUUGAACGGCCACAUUGGGACUGAGAUACGGCCCAGACUCCUACGGGAGGCAGCAGUGGGGAAUAUUGGGCAAUGGGCGCAAGCCUGACCCAGCAACGCCGCGUGAAGGAAGAAGGCUUUCGGGUUGUAAACUUCUUUUAAGAGGGAAGAGCAGAAGACGGUACCUCUAGAAUAAGCCACGGCUAACUACGUGCCAGCAGCCG
rnacentral:rRNA from 1 species